rnacentral:rRNA from 1 species
CCUACGGGUGGCAGCAGUGAGGAAUAUUGGUCAAUGGCCGGGAGGCUGAACCAGCCAAGUAGCGUGAAGGAUGACUGCCCUACGGGUUGUAAACUUCUUUUAUAGAGGAGUAAAGUGAGGCACGUGUGCCGUUUUGUAUGUACUUUAUGAAUAAGGAUCGGCUAACUCCGUGCCAGCAGCCGCGGUAAUACGGAGGAUCCGAGCGUUAUCCGGAUUUAUUGGGUUUAAAGGGAGCGUAGAUGGGUUGUUAAGUCAGUUGUGAAAGUUUGCGGCUCAACCGUAAAAUUGCAAUUGAAACUGGUAGUCUUGAGUACAGAUGAGGUAGGCGGAAUUCGUGGUGAAGCGGUGAAAUGCUAAGAUACACCGAAGAACUCCGAUGGCGAAGGCAGCUUACUAAACUGCAACUGACAUUGAGGCUCGAAAGUGUGGGUAUCAAACAGGAUUAGAAACCCGAGUAGUC